rnacentral:misc_RNA from 1 species
GGAAUAAAAGUCGUAACAAGGUCUCCGUUGGUGAACCAGCGGAGGGAUCAUUACAGAGUUGCAAAACUCCCAAACCAUUGUGAACGUUACCUAUCCCGUUGCUUCGGCGGGCGGCCCGGGCCCCGCGCCCGGCGCCUCCCGGCCCCCCGUGGGCGCCCGCCGGAGGUAAACCAAACCCUUGAAUUGCAUGGCCUCUCUGAGUCUUCUGUACUGAAUAAGUCAAAACUUUCAACAACGGAUCUCUUGGUUCUG